GACGAACGCUGGCGGCGUGCCUAAUACAUGCCAGUAGAACGCUGAAGGAGGAGCUUGCUUCUCUGGAUGAGUUGCGAACGGGUGAGUAACGCGUAGGUAACCUGCCUGGUAGCGGGGGAUAACUAUUGGAAACGAUAGCUAAUACCGCAUAAGAGUAGAUGUUGCAUGACAUUUGCUUAAAAGGUGCAAUUGCAUCACUACCAGAUGGACCUGCGUUGUAUUAGCUAGUUGGUGAGGUAACGGCUCACCAAGGCAACGAUACAUAGCCGACCUGAGAGGGUGAUCGGCCACACUGGGACUGAGACACGGCCCAGACUCCUACGGGAGGCAGCAGUAGGGAAUCUUCGGCAAUGGACGGAAGUCUGACCGAGCAACGCCGCGUGAGUGAAGAAGGUUUUCGGAUCGUAAAGCUCUGUUGUAAGAGAAGAACGAGUGUGAGAGUGGAAAGUUCACACUGUGACGGUAUCUUACCAGAAAGGGACGGCUAACUACGUG
rnacentral:rRNA from 1 species